rnacentral:rRNA from 1 species
GUCCACGCCCUAAACUAUGGAUACUCGACAUACGCGAUACACAGUGUGUGUCUGAGCGAAAGCAUUAAGUAUCCCACCUGGGAAGUACGAUCGCAAGAUUGAAACUCAAAGGAAUUGGCGGGGUCCGCACAAGCGGUGGAGCAUGUGGUUUAAUUCGAUGAUACGCGAGGAACCUUACCUGGGCUAGAAUGCUGGGAGACCGGUGGUGAAAGCCAUCUUUGUAGCAAUACACUGCCAGUAAGGUGCUGCAUGGCUGUCGU